rnacentral:misc_RNA from 1 species
GUACAAGUUCUAUUCGCCACCACGGCGAACGAAGCGUUCCGAUAACAUGCAAAGGGGUGUGUGUAGUGUCAAAAGGACGCGAGCCCCGAACGAGUGAACGCUCGUGACCCACGCAGAGGUGCACAGGUGUGUGAGAGAGACAAAGACGAGGCGUGCACGUCGCGACCCCGGUGGGGAAGCCAGCUACAACCUCGCCCCAGCUUUCGUUAAUGAUCCUUCCGCAGGUUCACCUACGGAAA